rnacentral:rRNA from 1 species
GACGAACGCUGCGGCGUGCCUAAUACAUGCAAGUCGAACGAGAGCGACCGGUGCUUGCACUGGUCAAUCUAGUGGCGAACGGGUGAGUAACACGUGGGUAACCUGCCCAUCAGAGGGGGAUAACAUUCGGAAACGGAUGCUAAAACCGCAUAGGUCCUUUAACCGCAUGGUUGAAGGAGGAAAAGAGGCGCAAGCUUCUGCUGAUGGAUGGACCCGCGGUGCAUUAGCUAGUUGGUGAGGUAACGGCUCACCAAGGCCGUGAUGCAUAGCCGACCUGAGAGGGUGAUCGGCCACAUUGGGACUGAGACACGGCCCAAACUCCUACGGGAGGCAGCAGUAGGGAAUCUUCCGCAAUGGACGCAAGUCUGACGGAGCAACGCCGCGUGAGUGAAGAAGGUUUUCGGAUCGUAAAACUCUGUUGUUAGAGAAGAACAAGUGCUAGAGUAACUGUUAGCGCCUUGACGGUAUCUAACCAGAAAGCCCG